rnacentral:rRNA from 1 species
AACGAACGCUGGCGGCAGGCCUAACACAUGCAAGUCGAACGAGAAGCCACCUUCGGGUGGUGGACAGUGGCAGACGGGUGAGUAACGCGUGGGAACGUGCCUUUCGGUUCGGAAUAACCCAGGGAAACUUGGGCUAAUACCGGAUACGCCCUUAGGGGGAAAGAUUCAUUGCCGAAAGAUCGGCCCGCGUCGGAUUAGCUAGUUGGUGGGGUAAUGGCUCACCAAGGCGACGAUCCGUAGCUGGUCUGAGAGGAUGACCAGCCACACUGGGACUGAGACACGGCCCAGACUCCUACGGGAGGCAGCAGUGGGGAAUAUUGGACAAUGGGCGAAAGCCUGAUCCAGCCAUGCCGCGUGGGUGAAGAAGGCCUUAGGGUUGUAAACCCCUUUCAGCGGGGAAGAUAAUGACGGUACCCGCAGAAGAAGUCCCGGCUAACUCCGUGCCAGCAGCCGCAGUAAGAC